AACUCACUGAGAGAGGCCAGAGAUCCAAUCUGGGUCCUCAUGGAUGCUAGUCAGGUUCAUAACCCACCGAGCCACAAUGGAAGCUCCCUAUUCAGCAAACAUUUUAAUCACUCCUUUUUAUUAGGCACUAUGCUGGGAGCUUGGGACAUGGGGUAGGAAUGAUGUCAUCAUGCCACUUUGUUUAUUGGGAGUCAGGUAAAGAGAUACUUGUAAUUCGGUUGAUUUUUGCUGAGUUCUAGCACAGACAUCAUAGGAUGUCUAACUAUUACCAAAGACUACUAACCUGGGUAAUCGGCUAUUGCAGGGUUUCCGCUCAAACAUCUACAGAAGCCAGACAGGCAAAUGGGCAAAGGGGUAGCUGGGAACUGUGGCAAACUGGAAAGGUAUGUAGGCAUAGAGUUGCCACAGCAAGUAGUUUUCCUUAAGAAAAAGCCACAAAACUGAUUUUUUUAUGUGCGCUCUCUGUAUUUUUGAACCUGUAAAUGGAUCCAAAAAUUUAACAGCGGGAGACCAAACAAAACACCUCUGCAGACCAAAUUUGGCCUUGGUCUACCAGUUUGCCAGGCAUUCCGCCAACCAGCCACACAGUCCCUCUUACCAAACAAUUGAAGGUCCACUAUUUUAGGCGCUGGGAGACAGCAGUGAGCCAGCCAGCCGACUUUCUUGCAGAAUAGCGGGGUGGGGGCUCUGGUUCUGUGCUUCUCAAACUUCCCUAAGUGUAGGACUCACUGGGAGGCCUGCGGUGAGGCCUGAAGCUUUGCCUUUCUAACAAGCUCCCAGGUGGUGAUAAUGCUGGUGGUUCCUGCACCAUACUUUGAGUAGCCUUGAGCUGUAACCCAGAGGCUCGGGAGCAGCUGUUAUUUGAAGGAGGGAAGUAGGGGGUUUGUCUUGAAGGUCACAUUUGCCUGGCAAGCAUCCUCUUUUUACUUAGAUUUUAGUUUACUGCAGGGACUUGGAAGAGAGUUGAUGACGUCGAAGGCGGGUGUUAAGGCUCUCCCAGCUACCUCUCGGCGCUGCCGGGUCUCCGUUCUCAGUUUAUAAGCUCGAAGGCGGGGCAGGGGUGAAGGAAGGUGGUGGGAAAAACUUCCUGGGGGAGGUGCACGUGGACUGCCCGACCUUCCCCAGCCGCCGAGAAAGGGAGAAACCCCGAACUCCCCCUCUCCUGGGACUGGGUCUCAGCAUCCCCACGCCGGGUCUGGUUUCCCAGGCAUCCCACGUGUCCGCGAGUCCCUGUCAAUCAAGCUUCUCCUCCCCGGGCUGGGCACGGGUUUAAAGGAGGCUGCUGCGCAGAGAGCUCCCAUAGUGCCGCGCGGCGGGCGGGUUUGGAUUUUAAAUCCCCGCGGCCAAUCAGUAGCGCGUAGGCUUUUGUAACGUUCCCGGCGCCGCGUUUGAAUUCGAGGAGGGGCAGAGCGGUGCCAAGCCUCGGCCCAGACCCUGCUAGGUCCGCUGAGCAACUCCGGGGACAUGAGUGCGGCGGCAACUACAGGGAAGCUGGCGCGGGCACCGGCUGACCCAGGAAAAGCCGGGGGCCCCGGAGUUGCAGCUCCCGGGGCCCCGGCGGCCGCUCCGCCGGCGAAAGAGAUCCCGGAGGUCCUAGUGGACCCGCGCAGCCGGCGGCGCUAUCUCCGCGGGCGCUUUCUGGGGAAGGGCGGCUUUGCCAAGUGCUUCGAGAUCUCGGACGCGGACACGAAGGAGGUGUUCGCCGGCAAGAUCGUGCCGAAGUCGCUGCUGCUCAAGCCGCACCAGAAGGAGAAGAUGUCCAUGGAGAUAUCCAUUCACCGCAGCCUUGCCCACCAGCACGUCGUCGGCUUCCACGGCUUUUUCGAGGACAACGACUUCGUGUUCGUGGUGCUGGAGCUCUGCCGCCGGAGAUCUCUCCUGGAGCUGCACAAGCGGAGGAAAGCACUCACCGAGCCCGAGGCCCGCUACUAUCUGCGGCAGAUCGUCCUCGGCUGCCAGUACCUGCACCGAAACCGUGUUAUUCACAGAGACCUCAAGCUGGGCAACCUCUUCCUGAACGAGGAUCUGGAGGUGAAAAUAGGGGAUUUUGGACUGGCAACCAAAGUCGAGUAUGACGGGGAACGGAAGAAGACCCUGUGCGGGACUCCUAAUUACAUAGCUCCUGAGGUGCUGAGCAAGAAAGGACACAGUUUCGAGGUGGACGUGUGGUCUAUUGGGUGCAUCAUGUAUACCUUGUUAGUGGGCAAGCCACCCUUUGAGACCUCUUGCCUUAAAGAGACCUACCUCCGGAUCAAGAAGAAUGAGUACAGUAUUCCCAAGCACAUCAACCCCGUGGCCGCCUCCCUCAUCCAAAAGAUGCUUCAGACGGAUCCCACUGCCCGCCCAACCAUUCACGAGCUGCUCAAUGACGAGUUUUUCACUUCCGGCUAUAUCCCCGCCCGCCUCCCCAUCACCUGCCUCACCAUCCCACCGAGGUUUUCAAUUGCUCCCAGUAGCCUGGACCCCAGCAGCCGGAAGCCUCUCACAGUCCUCAAUAAAGGCAUGGAGAACCCCAUGCCCGAGCGUCCCCGGGAAAAAGAGGAGCCCGUGGUGCGGGAGACCAGUGAGGCGGCUGACGGCCACCUAGGCGACAUGCUGCAGCAGCUCCAUAGCGUCAACGCCUCCAAGCCCUCAGAGCGGGGGCUGGUGAGGCAAGAAGAGCUGAGGAUCCCGCCUGCAUCCCCAUCUUCUGGGUCAGCAAGUGGGUGGACUAUUCAGACAAGUACGGCCUCGGUAGGUGUCUCCCAGGCAGGUGGGGGGCUCAGGUCCGGCUGCGUGCCCCUGCGAGUUGUUAUGGGCUCUGGCCUUUCUUGGCUCCCAGGUUCUCUGCUCUCAACACUCUCCUGUCUCCAUCCCAGCUCCCAGUGCUCCCCCCCUGCUCCCCGCUCCCCCUUUCUGAGGUCUCCCUCCACCUGCGCUAGGGUAUCAGCUGUGCGACAACAGCGUGGGGGUGCUCUUCAAUGACUCCACGCGCCUCAUCCUCUACAACGACGGGGACAGCCUGCAGUACAUUGAGCGUGAUGGCACGGAGUCCUACCUCACCGUGAGUUCCCACCCCAACUCCUUGAUAAAGAAGGUGAGUGCGGCCGGCCGUGCGGCCUGGUUAUUGCAGGGGAGUGAGGGCCGUGCGCGGGCGGAUGGGGCUCUAACCCUGGACUCCCUCCCUCCCUCCGCAACUAGAUCACUCUCCUUAAGUAUUUCCGAAACUACAUGAGCGAACACUUGCUGAAGGCGGGGGCCAACAUCACACCCCGGGAAGGCGAUGAGCUGGCCCGGCUCCCCUACCUGCGAACCUGGUUUCGCACCCGCAGCGCCAUCAUCCUGCACCUCAGUAACGGCUGCGUGCAGAUCAACUUCUUCCAGGACCACACCAAACUCAUCCUGUGCCCGCUGAUGGCCGCCGUGACCUACAUCGACGAGAAGCGGGACUUCCGCACAUACCGCCUGAGCCUCCUGGAGGAGUUCGGCUGCUCCAAGGAGCUGGCCAGCCGCCUGCGCUACGCCCGCACCAUGGUGGACAAGCUGCUGAGCUCACGCUCGGCCACCAACCGCCUCAAGGCCUCCUCGUAGCCACCCCCGCUCCACCACCACCACCACCACCCCGGACUGGCGCCCUCCGCACCCCCACCAGCACCUUGGCCCAUGCCGGUUAGCGCCCGUGGUGCUGUUUUAUAGUGUGUCCCCUGCCCUGGGGGCCGGGGCGAGAGCUGUGUCCUCCCCGCAGGUGGGGGCCGCUGUGUAAGUUAUUUUUGUACAUGUCCCGGUGGGGCGUCUGUGGCCUCUUCCCCUUCCCUCAGCCCCACCACGUGAAUUGUACAGAAGGUUGCUAUUGAAUUCGGGACUGUCCUUGCCCUGCCUUUAUAUACAUUAAACAGACGUGAAUCUUGC